rnacentral:rRNA from 1 species
UUUUGACCGUGCAAAGGUAGCGCAAUCACUUGUCUUUUAAAUGAAGACCUGUAUGAAUGGCCAAACGAGGGCUUAACUGUCUCCCAUCUCAAGUCAGUGAAAUUGAUCUGCCCGUGCAGAAGCGGACAUAAAAGUACAAGACGAGAAGACCCUUUGGAGCUUAAGGUACAAACCCAAUCGCGUCAAACAGCUUACCCAAUAAGCUCCAAACCUAGCGAAAUAUGGAAUUUUACCUUCGGUUGGGGCGACCACGGAGAAAAAACUAUCCUCCGAGUGGACCGGGUUAACUUAACCUAAAACUAAGAGAGACAUCUCUAAGUCACAGAACAUCUGACCAAUAAUGAUCCGGCCAUAGGCCGAUCAACGGACCAAGUUACCCUAGGG